rnacentral:rRNA from 1 species
GUGAACGCUGGCGGUAGGCCUAGCACAUGCAAGUCGAACGGCAGCACAGUAAGAACUUGCUCUUACGGGUGGCGAGUGGCGGACGGGUGAGGAAUACAUCGGAAUCUACUUUUUCGUGGGGGAUAACGUAGGGAAACUUACGCUAAUACCGCAUACGACCUACGGGUGAAAGCAGGGGAUCUUCGGACCUUGCGCGAUUGAAUGAGCCGAUGUCGGAUUAGCUAGUUGGCGGGGUAAAGGCCCACCAAGGCGACGAUCCGUAGCUGGUCUGAGAGGAUGAUCAGCCACACUGGAACUGAGACACGGUCCAGACUCCUACGGGAGGCAGCAGUGGGGAAUAUUGGACAAUGGGCGCAAGCCUGAUCCAGCCAUACCGCGUGGGUGAAGAAGGCCUUCGGGUUGUAAAGCCCUUUUGUUGGGAAAGAAAAGCAGCAGGUUAAUACCCCGCUGUUCUGACGGUACCCAAAGAAUAAGCACCGGCUAACUUCGUG